AACUGCUUUUGUAUGGGGAUAAAGUCAAUCACGUGUGAUUGUUUGCAGGUACCAUACGAAUAAGGACCGGCUAAUUCCGUGCCAGCAGCCGCGGUAAUACGGAAGGUUCGGGCGUUAUCCGGAUUUAUUGGGUUUAAAGGGAGCGUAGGCCGGAGAUUAAGUGUGUUGUGAAAUGUAGACGCUCAACGUCUGACUUGCAGCGCAUACUGGUUUCCUUGAGUACGCACAACGUUGGCGGAAUUCGUCGUGUAGCGGUGAAAUGCUUAGAUAUGACGAAGAACUCCGAUUGCGAAGGCAGCUGACGGGAGCGCCACUGACGCUUAAGCUCGAAGGUGCGGGUAUCGAACAGGAUUAGAUACCCUGGUAGUCC
rnacentral:rRNA from 1 species